GACGGAGGAUGCAAGCGUUAUCCGGAAUUACUGGGCGUAAAGGGCUCGUAGGUGGCCAACUAAGUCAGACGUGAAAUCCCUCGGCUUAACCGGGGAACUGCGUCUGAUACUGGAUGGCUUGAGUUUGGGAGAGGGACGCGGAAUUCCAGGUGUAGCGGUGAAAUGCGUAGAUAUCUGGAGGAACACCGGUGGCGAAGGCGGCGUCCUGGACCAACACUGACACUGAGGAGCGAAAGCCAGGGGAGCAAACGGG
rnacentral:rRNA from 1 species